ACUACAUGUACAGGAUAGGUGGGAGGCUUUGAAACCAGGACGCCAGUUUUGGCGGAGCCAUCCUUGGGAUACCACCCUUGUAGUACUGGGACUCUAACCAUAGGCCAUGAAUCUGGUCUUGGGACACUGUCAGGUGGGCAGUUUGCCUGGGGCGGUCGCCUCCCAACAGGUAACGGAGGCGCUCAAAGGUUCUCUCAGUACGGUCGGCAAUCGUACGUAGAGUGUAAAGGCAAAAGAGAGCUUGAUUGCAAGACAUACAGGUCGAGCAAGGAUGAAAAUCGGACUUAGUGAUCC
rnacentral:rRNA from 1 species